rnacentral:rRNA from 1 species
CCUACGGGUGUCAGCAGUGGGGAAUAUUGCGCAAUGGGCGCAAGCCUGACGCAGCGACGCCGCGUGAGGGAUGAAGGCCUUCGGAUUGUAAACCUCUUUCAGUAGGGAAGAACGGUCACUGUGCUAUUCAGUUGUGAAUUGACGGUACCUGCAAAGGAAGCACCGGCUAACUCCGUGCCAGCAGCCGCGGUAAUACGGAGGGUGCGAGCGUUAAUCGGAAUUACUGGGCGUAAAGCGCUCGUAGGCGGUAUGUCAAGUCAGGGGUGAAAUCCCCGGGCUCAACGGGGGAACUGCAUUUGAAACUGGCAAACUUGAGUAUUGGAGAGGAUAGUGGAAUUCCAGGUGUAGCGGUGAAAUGCGUAGAGAUCUGGAGGAACACCGGUGGCGAAGGCGGCUAUCUGGCACAUAACUGACGCUGAGGAGCGAAAGCGUGGGUAGCAAACAGGAUUAGAUACCCCAGUAGUC